AUUGAACGCUGGCGGCAUGCUUUACACAUGCAAGUCGAACGGCAGCACAGGGAGCUUGCUCCCGGGUGGCGAGUGGCGCACGGGUGAGUAAUACAUCGGAACGUGUCCUGUUGUGGGGGAUAACUGCUCGAAAGGGUGGCUAAUACCGCAUGAGACCUGAGGGUGAAAGCGGGGGAUCGCAAGACCUCGCGCAAUUGGAGCGGCCGAUGCCCGAUUAGCUAGUUGGUGAGGUAAAGGUUCACCAAGGCGACGAUCGGUAGCUGGUCUGAGAGGACGACCAGCCACACUGGGACUGAGACACGGCCCAGACUCCUACGGGAGGCAGCAGUGGGGAAUUUUGGACAAUGGGGGCAACCCUGAUCCAGCCAUGCCGCGUGCAGGAUGAAAGGCCUUCGGUUGUAAACUGCUUUGUCAGGGACGAAAAGGACAGAGUGCGAAGACAAACUGCAUUGACGGUACCGGAAAAGCAAGCCACGGCUAAC
rnacentral:rRNA from 1 species